rnacentral:lncRNA from 1 species
AUAUAUAUAAGAUUCGGCUGGACUUCCCGUACAAGCAAAGGACUCAUCUAGGCUUUCCUUGCAAGAAAAAUACACCAAAUCACACCCUAGAGGGUCGAGCAGCUCGCGCGACCCAUCAGACAGCUUGUCUGAUCCCUCGCGCGACCUCGCGCCAUCCAUCAGACAGCUUGUCUGAUCCCUCGCGCGACCUCGUGCCAUCCAUCAGACAGUUGUCUGACCCCUCGCGCCAUAUUUUGCCUUGUGGUAGGGCCGUACUCUGCUGGCUCUAACUUUUGCAUACGAUCCCGGAUCGACAUGAUUUUUAUAUCAAAAUCGAUCGUUUCGACG